UGGGGAAUAUUGGACAAUGGGCGAAAGCCUGAUCCAGCCAUGCCGCGUGUGUGAAGAAGGUCUUCGGAUUGUAAAGCACUUUAAGUUGGGAGGAAGGGCAGUAAGCGAAUACCUUGCUGUUUUGACGUUACCGACAGAAUAAGCACCGGCUAACUCUGUGCCAGCAGCCGCGGUAAUACAGAGGGUGCAAGCGUUAAUCGGAAUUACUGGGCGUAAAGCGCGCGUAGGUGGUUCGUUAAGUUGAAUGUGAAAGCCCCGGGCUCAACCUGGGAACUGCAUCCAAGACUGGCGAGCUAGAGUAGGGCAGAGGGUGGUGGAAUUUCCUGUGUAGCGGUGAAAUGCGUAGAUAUAGGAAGGAACACCAGUGGCGGAGGCGACCACCUGGGCUCAUACUGACACUGAGGUGCGAAAGCGUGGGGAGCAAACAGG
rnacentral:rRNA from 1 species